rnacentral:rRNA from 1 species
UACGUAGGGGGCAAGCGUUGUCCGGAAUCAUUGGGCGUAAAGAGCGCGUAGGCGGCCCUGUAAGUCCGCUGUGAAAGUCAAGGGCUCAACCCUUGAAUGCCGGUGGAUACUGCAGGGCUAGAGUCCGGAAGAGGCGAGUGGAAUUCCUGGUGUAGCGGUGAAAUGCGGCAGAUAUCAGGAGGAACACCAAUAGCGAAGGCAGCUCGCUGGGACGUUACUGACGCUGAGGCGCGAAAGCGUGGGAGCGAACAGG